rnacentral:lncRNA from 1 species
CUUCAUUGCAAGGACAGGUACAGAGACUUGCGGCCACCUGAAAAAGAAGCAUUUCUACUUCGUCUGUCACCGGUCUGGAAGUUAUGCUUCACAAGCUACAAGUAAACAAAAGCUGAAGCGGCCUUCAAGUGUCAAGUGUGGAAAAAGAUGUUUUGCGGCAAUGGCUGUGACUGAAGACAACACAGGUGUGUAUGUGGUUUUCCAAUUCAAGCACAGAGGCCACGACUUUGAACUGGGUCGUGUUUUUCUGUCCAAGUCGGAAAGAGCUGCUAUUGCUGACAAGCUGCGAGAAGGCGUGUCCAUGGAUGCAGUACUGGAUAAUGUGCGGUCCAACGUGGAUGAGACAUUCCACCGCAUUAACCUGUUAAGCAAGCAGGAUCUCCGCAAAAUAAUGAGGGAUGCCAGAGUCUCGAAGACCGAGCGGCUGCACGAUAAUGACUAUGUGAGCAUGCAACUCUGGGUUGAGA